GACGAACGCUGGCGGCAUGCCUAAUACAUGCAAGUCGAGCGAACAGAUGAAGUGCUUGCACUUCUGACGUUAGCGGCGAACGGGUGAGUAACACGUAAGGAAUCUACCUAUAAGCGGGGGAUAACAUUCGGAAACGGGUGCUAAUACCGCAUAAUAUCUUCUUCCGCAUGGAAGAAGAUUGAAAGACGGCUCUGCUGUCACUUAUAGAUGACCUUGCGGUGCAUUAGUUAGUUGGUGGGGUAACGGCCUACCAAGACGAUGAUGCAUAGCCGACCUGAGAGGGCGAUCGGCCACAUUGGGACUGAGACACGGCCCAAACUACUACGGGAGGCAGCUGUAGGGAAUCUUCCGCAAUGGGCGAAAGCCUGACGGAGCAAUACCGCGUGAGUGAAGAAGGCCUUCGGGUCGUAAAACUCUGUUAUAAGAGAAGAACAAAUUGUAGAGUAACUGCUACAGUCUUGACGGUAUCUUAUCAGAAAGCCACGGCUAACUACGUGCCAGCAGCCGCAGUAA
rnacentral:rRNA from 1 species